rnacentral:sRNA from 1 species
ACAAUAGUAUAGGAUUUCUCAAGGGUGGUCGGCUCACUCCCCGUUAGAAAGGGGGUGGUGCCGUAUGACAGUUUUCGAAGCGCUUAUGUUUGCUGUAGCUUUUUCUAGCUUAAUUGUUGCAAUGCUGUCAUUUAACCAAAAAAAUAAUCCACCCUUGAGUUAGCAGCUCGGUGGAUUAUUUCCUCUACUAGCUGACCCCUUUGAUGGAGCCUGCUAUUGUUAUACCGUUAGUGUACCCGCACUAACG